GAUGAACGCUGGCGGCAUGCCUAAUACAUGCAAGUCGAACGGAGCACUUCGGUGCUUAGUGGCGAACGGGUGAGUAACACGUAGGUAACAUACUUAUAAGCCGAGGAUAACGGUUGGAAACGACUGCUAAGACUGGAUAGGAAUAUUGGGGGCAUCCCUGAUAUUUUAAAGGACCACAGGUACACUUAUAAAAUGACCUGCGGCGCAUUAGCUAGUUGGUAAGGUAGCGGCUUACCAAGGCGAUGAUGCGUAGCCGGACUGAGAGGUUGAACGGCCACAUUGGGACUGAGACACGGCCCAGACUCCUACGGGAGGCAGCAGUAGGGAAUUUUCGGCAAUGGGGGGAACCCUGACCGAGCAAUGCCGCGUGAAUGAAGAAAUACUUCGGUAUGUAAAGUUCUUUUAUUUGGGAAGAACGGCUAGUGGAAAAGCUAGAGUGACGGUACCAAAUGAAUAAGCCCCGGCUAACUAUGUGCCAGCAGCCGCGGUAAUACAUAGGGGGCAAGCGUUAUCCGGAAUUAUUGGGCGUAAAGGGUGCGUAGGCGGUUAGUAAAGUUUAAGGUAUAAGCUCAUGGCUCAACCAUGGGAGGCUUUAGAAACUGGCUAACUUGAGUGCAGUAGAGGCAAGUGGAAUUCCAUGUGUAGCGGUAAAAUGCGUAAAUAUAUGGAGGAACACCAGUAGCGAAAGCGGCUUGCUGGGCUGUAACUGACGCUAAGGCACGAAAGCGUGGGGAGCAAACAGG
rnacentral:rRNA from 1 species